CCUCCCACUCACAGGCAGGGUUUGGGACCUUUCCUUUUUACUUGGGGGCUUGGCUGACUUUUGAUUGCCCAAAGCAGUGAAACAGGGCAGAAUGGAUGCAUUAUGACUUCAAAGUCUAGGAAAUAAAAAGAACACAGUUUCUGCCUGGCUUGCUAUUUGGGAGAUGCUCACUCUGGGGACAACAACUAUCAUGUUGUGAGGAAGACCCAACAAUCCUGUGCAUAGACACUACUUGAGAGGCUUUCAUGGAGAGGAAGGGGCAUGCCGAGCGGACAGCCAGACCAACCACUAAGCAUGUGUGAGCGAGCCUUCAGGUGAUUCUGGCCUCCGGGCUUCAAGCUUCUCCUGACACCAAGUGAAGCAGAGGGUACCCAUCCACACUACACCCUGACCAAAACGCAGAUCUGUGGGCAAAAUCAAUGUGGUUGUUAUUGUGUUAAACCACUCAGUUCUUUAAGAAUGGAACAAGCCCUCUUCAGCCAUGGCCACAUCUUCUGUCCAUGAGUCUAACCAUCAUCCUCACCACCCUUGUCUGAUCCUUGAUGGUUUUGUCUCCUCCACCAGAAGCAAGGAAUCUCAUCUCAAUAACACCAAGUCUCACGCAGAAAGAGGCCUCCAUAAAUGAUCAUCCACAACAAUGAGGUCUAAUGAGAGCCAAGGAAAGAAAGAUAUUGUUGGAUCUAUCAUCAUAAGACUCAUGUGCUGGGACUCAGGGAGUGGCUACUGGCUGAUGAACAUCCCCAACCACCCCACGUGUAGCCGGCAGUUCCUGCUUUCUGUGGCUAUGGUCAGCACUGAGACAAGAGCUACGAGUGCUUGUGUGGUGACUGAUAAGCUCUAGCUCCACUCAGGCCCGAGGACUUGAUCAGAUGGCAGCGUGAGGCAUUCGGAGGGAAUCCUAUGUGAUAACGGCCGCAACACUGAGGUGACCCUUGGAAUUAGACAACAAAAAGGAAGCACCAGCACUGUGACCUGGGGAGCCUUCCUGGAGAGAUGUAGCCACUGCCAUUGCUGGUGGCCUUACUUCUGUCCCCCAAGAGAGAAGCAGGGGCUAAAAGUCAGGCAGGAGGAAGGACCAGCAGCAAUUCACUGGGCAGGCUUCCUGGGAAGAUGCAGCUGCUACUGUUCCUGGUGACCUUUCUCCUACCUCCUAAGACUGAGGCAGCACUUCCCAGGAAGCUCUCUGCCUCUAGCUGUUCUGCGGAAAAGAUUUCCACAUCUCAUGGUGCUCACCUCCAGAAGACAGUUCCCUCCUGACCAUCGCAGAGCCCAGGCCCACCACCUCCCACAGCUCUGCGCUCUUCUCUAUUAAGGAAACCUCGGCAGCAGAGCUCUGGCAUUAGUGUUUGCACAUUGACCUCUAGUGCAAAUGACACAAUUCCUCCCACUCUCCUUCUCCAGGUGCAUACUCGGUGCAUCAAAGGCC
rnacentral:lncRNA from 1 species